ensembl:lncRNA
AUGAAAGGCUAUAAUUGGAAACAUUGUGAAAUCAAUGAAGGGAGGGGUUUUUUUUGGUUUUUUUUAGGUUUUUUUUAUUUUACCACAGUGAGAGCAGAAUUAGUCUUUGGCCUUCAUUUAAAAGUGUGUGAUCUUGCCCUAUGGCUGCUGAUGAACUCUGUACCCUGUGCAUGGGCUUACAAAAUCAGAAGCCCUCUUCUUCUAGAUCUACACAAAUACCUGAGAGAUGCUGUGGAGAAGGCACUAUCUGUUGAAGGGAGCCAAGUGUGGCACUUUAUUGCGCUGGGAGUCAUGAUUGCUCAGCUGUGAGAUUGCUUCCUGGAAAUCUGUAGUGGAGAAUCAAGCACAGUGCAGCAGCAGCCACAUAUGAAUGUGGUGAGUGAAUAGCUGUGUUUGUGCCUAGGGAAUAGCUGAGGAACUUGGGGAACAGUGGUGUCCUUUUGAGCAUGACUGGCCAGUUGAGGACAUACCAGUUAAAUUGCUCUGAGAACCCAGCUGACAGAUGUCAGUGUGGGUAAGGGUAAAUAAUACAAGUUGGAGGUGGAAGGUUUCAAGGAGGAAGCAAACAAAGAGACAUCAGAAAUAUCCAAACAUGGUGGUUUACAAAGAAUUAAAUCCCCUUUCUCAAAGUCCUUUGGCAUUUCUGUCCAAGUCAGAAAGUCACGUGAAAGAGUACCUCAUGCUUUUUCUUUACUUAUCAUUUAUUAGUCUAUUUUCUAGGGCUACUUUCCCUGGUUUGAUGUGACAAGUCUAUAGCCUUUGGCCUUUUUUGUAUUCUUCAAGAAGGCCUUCACCUCAGUUGAUAUCUCAGCAAUUUAUUUAUGACUCUACAGUGAUAUGUUGUUUUUUUUCUUUUUGCUGAAUGCCAGUGGCCAUGCUGUAAAAUUUUUUUAAGGCCAAGAUGUUAAUGUUUUUGUGUUGCUAUUCACUUUUUACAGUGGCUACUCACCCACUUUUUUUUUUUUUCCUCUUUCCUCCUAGAUCUCCGGCUUGAAAGAGAGUGUUUUUCUUGGCUCAUGGCUUAACACCUUCUGUGUUUUCCUUAUCAACUGACCUUGCAUGUUUAAGUAUGAAGUUUCAGUGUUUUUAUAUUCAUCCUGUUUCAGACUGAUCAUGGACUUGCUGCAAAGCUUUUAAAAAAACCAGAAAUGUUUAUUCUUUCUACACCUUGCCUCCACAUAUGAAACAGAUGUGCUGAGCCUUCUGUCUUGUGUAUCUUCUCCUGUAUAGUAUAGGUUUUUCAGCCUUUGUCUUCAUGCUGAGUAAGUCUUGCCCUUCAGAUUCUCAGUUUAAAAUGUUGACAUUGUUAUGGAUUCCUGCUAUGUGAUUAUGGAGUGGUUUAUUUUCAUUUCUCAACUGUAGCUUUCAAGACAGGAGAGGUUAAAGAAUUUUGGUGGGAUAGGUACACUUUUGGUUUGAUGGGUGCACUUGUGCUGCUUUGGUGCUGCUAUGCAGGAACUCUGGCUUCAGUGCUUAGAAACUGAAGCUAGAUUUAUGCUUAUUGUGAUGAGAAUCCAAAUCAAUGUCUUUUUCUAUCUAAGAGUUUGAACGUGAUAUUUCAGUGGCCUAGACAAUAUAAUUAUUUGCAAUAGUAGAAAUCAGCUCUCUUUGAGUGUAUGUGGUUCUGCUAUACUUUGCAUAGUUUUAAAACUAUUUUUAUAUCCCAUCAAGUCAAAAUAUUCUUCAAAAGUUAGGAUUCCCCAUGCUUCCAGCUGUCACAAUAAGGUGUUGUAUUGAGCACCUUAGUAAGAAUAUGAUUAAUGGUUGAAACAUGCUGGAUUUCUUAUAAUCCCCAAGUAACUACUGAAUGUUGUUCUUGUUGUUCCUUGUUUCACAGCUGUGUGAAAUAACCAGUCUUGUACCUGAAAGCUUUGGCUGGAGCUUAGUUGAACAGAGCAUUUGAAGCUCAGCUCCAUCCUUUGUUAUUUUUUGGAAAACUUUUCCUGUUAGCAAAAGUUUGUUUCUGUCUCUCUUCUAAUCAGCCUAGUGGAUCAAUGUCCAGAAGAUGACACGCUGAGCCAAGAUGCUGCUGAGUGUGGACAAAUAUUUAGAGAUAAACAGAAGAAACUGGACGUGUUCAGAGGAAUGUUACCUUCUUAAGCCAGGAAUGUUUUCUUUGUAACAUUUUUAGAGCAGUGGGAUUUCCGUUCAGCAGAAUCUGAGAUAGGAUUGACGUGAACUCUCGUGGUGUUAAGGUCAGAGUUUUCUACUUCUUAGUUCUGCCUUUGAGCUGAGUAUCUUGAAAGCCUUGCAUCAUCAGUCUUGUGGCACUCUGCUUGUCAGGAUUCCAGAUCGUGCCACUGUGCAGCUAACCUGCUAAGCAGGCUCUCUUGGGAAUGGCAAGUUUUGCAGAGCUGUUGGAUUGGAUAGCUCAGCUAGAAUUUCCAUGCUUUAUGCUCCCAUGCCAGGAACCAGAUGAGAUUGGGUUUCACAUAGUUUGGCCUUGUCUCUAUAGAAGGGACCUUGGAGACCUCAGAGGCAGGAUUUAAGGAAUGGCAAACCUGGGAAGAGUUUCCAAGGUCAGUGAUUCUGGGACAGUAUGCAUAAUGAUGCUGAUUGAAAGCUGUAGGUAUGAAGAGCCUAUGUAUCUGAGCAAGAAAACUGAGAAUAUCACUUAAUAUAGCAGCAGAUAUUUAAGGAGGAGAAGAAAAGUUAGCAAGGCUUAAUGUCACUGAGAUUCUGGACUGCAGAAGGUCUUCCCUGGGCAAUAUGACUGGGUCUCUCUUUACAUUUCUGGUUUGUAUAGAGGCAAAUACUUCUAUAUUUUAGUCUCACUUGUCCUGAGUCUGGCAUUUCCUGUCAAUAAGAAACCCUGCUUUUCUCUAAAUUUAGAUGAGACCCAACGUCUAAAUGUUGCACAUAAAACAAUUCCCACCCCCAGCAAGCUUCUGUAGGGAUUCUGACUUUGCAGAAAUUCUUUCUUGAUGCUUUUGUGGCACUUAAGGUAUAAUUUUACCAUUUCUUUGACAUGUGACUGGAGAACGCAUCUGAUACGUAUGGUAGAAAAUUUCAGUAGAUACCUAUGGGAUAAGAUUACUGUGAUGCAUUUUAAAUGAUUACAGCUGUUGGAGGUGGGGGUAUUUCCUGCUGAGGGAAGUGGGAAAAACUUCUUGGUAUGAUUCAAUGGUAGGUUUAGGAAAAGAUGUAUUUUAUUUUUUUUAAUCAAACUUGCAGAAGAGAGACAGGACUGCUGCAUGUAUUGCAGCAUGUAACUUCAGAAAGGAAAAAGAGAAUAAUCUCAUUCCUAUGCUGUUUCUGGGGGCUAAGGGAGUAAACGACCUUCAGCUUUAUGCAAAUGGAAGGACUGCAGUUUGUAAAUUAUGAUAGCCAUUUAAAAACAAAAGUAAUCCCACUUCUCUGUUUUCGACAAAUGCCUUGUAGUAUGCAAAAGAUACUUGGUGCUUUAAGGCACACAAUACUGUGUACAUUAAAAACAUAUUUAAGCACUAAAAUAUUUCAUAUAAAUUUGAAGACUUCAUUUGUGUGUACCCCAGCAUAAAUCAGGAGUCUGUACAAAGACAGGGGAGUUACUGUCACAUGCAACUAGCGUGAACUCAUAAUAAGCUCCAAAAUAUUAUAGAUAUUAAAAGGCACUAAUAUAUAUUGUUGAUUAUAAUUCCAGUCACUGGUUAUAAACCUCAUGAAAUGAAUUGCCUCAUUUAUAAUGCAUACCAUGGGACAACAUCUAAUUCAGUGACAAGCAUGGAGUCUAGCAAAGAUUCAAUAGAAAUAUCUGCUUAAAUGACCAUGUUCUCACCUAAUUACAUAUAUUUUCUAAAGCUUUGUUAUUUAAUAUACCUAUUAUUAUUAUUAAAUUGAAUUUCACACCUUUAAAAAUUCUGAUGAAUAAAUGUCCUUUUCUCUGUGAGAUGCA